rnacentral:rRNA from 1 species
CGUACACUCCUACGGGAGGCAGCAGUGGGGAAUUUUGGACAAUGGGCGCAAGCCUGAUCCAGCCAUGCCGCGUGCGGGAAGAAGGCCUUCGGGUUGUAAACCGCUUUUGUCAGGGAAGAAAAGGUUCUGGCUAAUACCUGGGACUCAUGACGGUACCUGAAGAAUAAGCACCGGCUAACUACGUGCCAGCAGCCGCGGUAAUACGUAGGGUGCAAGCGUUAAUCGGAAUUACUGGGCGUAAAGCGUGCGCAGGCGGUUAUGCAAGACAGAGGUGAAAUCCCCGGGCUCAACCUGGGAACUGCCUUUGUGACUGCAUGGCUAGAGUACGGUAGAGGGGGAUGGAAUUCCGCGUGUAGCAGUGAAAUGCGUAGAUAUGCGGAGGAACACCGAUGGCGAAGGCAAUCCCCUGGACCUGUACUGACGCUCAUGCACGAAAGCGUGGGGAGCAAACAGGAUUAGAAACCCUAGUAGUCCCAUGA